AUGUCUCGAACCCAGCCACCUCCCCGUCCUUUUCCGCUCUUUAUUAAAAAAGAAAAGGAAAAAAAAUCUACGGACAGUUUCGACGGCGAACGGCGGCAUGGUGCUCAGCGGGUUGACUUGGUCUUGGGCGGCGCCGUCGUUGCUGUUGGCGGUGCAGACUCAGCGGCGCGGUGCUCGGUGGUAGUAGGUGGCAUCGGCGGUGUGGUGAGUUCUUUGGGUUCCUCAGUGCCGGGCAACGCGGGGGCUAAAUCGACUGCGACCGCUUCAUGCUCAACAACGGCCAUGACGGCACUGCUCCAUCUCGCGGGCUACGGCGGCAGUGCUCCAUCUAGCAGGCUAUGGCGGCGUCACGGUGAGCUCUCCACACUCUGGUUCAUUGCCAGGAUUUAUUCCCCGGUAUUUCUCCUCCCAUCCCCUCUCAAUCCAGAAUUCUAA
rnacentral:rRNA from 1 species